rnacentral:rRNA from 1 species
UACGGGGGGGGCAAGCGUUGUUCGGAAUUACUGGGCGUAAAGGGUCUGUAGGUGGCUUGCUAAGUCAGACGUGAAAUCCCUCAGCUUAACUGGGGAACUGCGUCUGAGACUGGCGAGCUUGAGGGCAGGAGAGGAACGCGGAAUUCCAGGUGUAGCGGUGAAAUGCGUAGAUAUCUGGAGGAACACCGAUGGCGAAGGCGACAUCCUGGACCGGCAUUGACGCUGAGGCGCGAAAGCCAGGGGAGCAAACGGG